rnacentral:rRNA from 1 species
AGAGUUUGAUCCUGGCUCAGGAUGAACGCUGGCGGCGUGCUUAACACAUGCAAGUCGAACGGACGAUGAAAAGCUUGCUUUUCAAAGUUAGUGGCGGACGGGUGAGUAACGCGUGGGUAACCUGCCUCAUACAGGGGGAUAGCAGCUGGAAACGGCUGAUAAAACCGCAUAAGCGCACAGCAUCGCAUGAUGCAGUGUGAAAAACUCCGGUGGUAUGAGAUGGACCCGCGUCUGAUUAGCUGGUUGGUGAGGUAACGGCCCACCAAGGCGACGAUCAGUAGCCGGCCUGAGAGGGUGACCGGCCACAUUGGGACUGAGACACGGCCCAAACUCCUACGGGAGGCAGCAGUGGGGAAUAUUGCACAAUGGGGGAAACCCUGAUGCAGCGACGCCGCGUGAAGGAAGAAGUAUCUCGGUAUGUAAACUUCUAUCAGCAGGGAAGAAAAUGACGGUACCUGACUAAGAAGCCCCGGCUAACUACGUGCCAGCAGCCGCGGUAAUACGUAGGGGGCAAGCGUUAUCCGGAUUUACUGGGUGUAAAGGGAGCGUAGACGGCACGGCAAGCCAGAUGUGAAAGCCCGGGGCUCAACCCCGGGACUGCAUUUGGAACUGCUGAGCUAGAGUGUCGGAGAGGCAAGUGGAAUUCCUAGUGUAGCGGUGAAAUGCGUAGAUAUUAGGAGGAACACCAGUUGCGAAGGCGGCUCUCUGGACUGUAACUGACACUGAGGCACGAAAGCGUGGGGAGCAAACAGGAUUAGAUACCCUGGUAGUCCACGCCGUAAACGAUGAGUACUAGCUGUCGGAGGUUACCCCCUUCGGUGGCGCAGCUAACGCAUUAAGUACUCCGCCUGGGAAGUACGCUCGCAAGAGUGAAACUCAAAGGAAUUGACGG